GCGCCCGGCACAGGGCCACUCGGGCUGGCCCGUCACACCUCCCGUCCCAUCUGAGCCGGGUGCGAAGGGAGGGGCCGCGCCGAAAAGCGUCUCUACGGGGGAAAGGGCCGCCGCGAGGCCCGGGCGGAGGCGAGGGAGGGUCCUCCGUCGUCGCCGCGCCGCGCCGCGCGCCCAUGUCUCCAGCCACAGGCUCCCCGCACCGCCGGAGCCCCCGCUGGACACCGCGUCCUGAACGCCAUUCACCCGCCGCGACCUCCAGCCCCGCCUGGCACGCCUGGUGCAGAGGAAUCCACCUGCCCCGCUGCUGACAUACACCCCACGGCGACAUGCCCGGACCCGGCGCGUCCGCCCGCCCGAGCUGAAAUGUACCCCCGUAACUGACCCAAGCCCCUCCAUCUCUCCGAAACCACCCUAAGCCGCUUGAAAUGAAAUCCCACCCUUCACUGAGUUUCCCAUCCAACACUGAGUGGCCACCAAACCCGAAUGAACCCCCCCUGAGAGCCUGAAGUGCCCGCUACAGCCUUAACCCUCGCCCUCGGUGCUGUCUAGGAAACCCGCAGCCCCCUCGCCAGCCACAGCCUGCCCGCACCUGAUGCUGGCCGCGCUCCAGGCGCCCCAGCCCUGGGCUCAGGAGUCCCUCCACUGCCGCCCUCUGAGUCCUGGAGCAAUCCUCUCCCCAUCGCGCUAUUUGCUUGCUCUCGCCACCGUUAGCAUUAGAGCUCAAGGGCCCUGUCUCCAGCCCCUUGACUCCACCAUCUAAGGCUAAGCUCUGGCCCUUGCUAUACCCGACACCCCCCCCCCCCCAAUUUCCUUUAAUUCAUGUUAAUCCUAGGUUCCUUUCUUACCCUCUCCCAAAGUCAUGAUGCCUUUUCCUUAUCUCACUACUACUUGCUAAUUUAGUUAAUCUCACCAGCUAACCUUUUUUUUUUUUUUUAAUCCCAUCAAACCCCUCCUAUUGCCAACCCAGCAGUCACUAAAAUCUCCACUAUCCCAAAUCUUAAAUGAGUAGCAGUACUGAGAAAUUUUCUCUCUUAGCAGCUUUUCCCCUGGACCAUGAGCCCUUCUUGCUUGGUACUUGCUACCCAUGUUUAUAAACACCAGCGAUUUGAUUUAGAGGGUGAACUUCUCUCUGUUUACAUUUAGAUGAAGUAACUGUAUUCAUUGUACUGAUGAAAGGUUGGGUUAUAGACCAAAGACUAGGCUUAAUAUUCAAAGGGAGUAUAAAGUCUCUUAGUUUCUACAUGAAAAUAAAUUAUUCUUCUUACAUUUCUGGACAACAACAAAAAACCUAGGAAGGAAGAAUGCCUAUAAUUGGAUCAGGUCACAGCAUUUAUAUUGGAGUGAAAUUUUACUGUGUCAUCAAGUUUUAGGCACUCAAUGACGUUUUAAACAUUUAUCUGUGGCACAUGAAGAGCAAAGGUAAUCUAAAUCAACCCAAGCAGCCUGUCGUAGAGUACAUGCCAAGGCAUUUAAUGUACUCAACAAAUAGGUACUGAGUCUGGAGCAGGUGCCAGAUACUGUUCUUGGCAGUGGUAAUGCAAACAGAAAACAAAGCAGACAAAAUUUGAUGAUGGCAAAGUGGUGGCAUUCAGUUUUGUCAAAUGAAAAGUUAAUUAAGUGACCAAAUUAAGAAAUGAGCUGCAAGGGGAGAGAAAGGAACAAGUAAAGAAAAAAUUGUUUGCCACUAAAAUUCAAAAUAGAACCCAAGGGAUAAUGAGACAGAGCCGACCAAUUCAGACGGCACAUAAAGAGACUCAUCAACAGUGGCAGGUUUAUAGAACAUGACAGAGGAAGCUGUGCUGAGCUGAGAAGAGGAAGCAGAGAAGGAAGCAGAGAAAAACAAACUCCGUGAUAAAAAUUGGAAAGGAGCCACCAAGGCUACAAAAAACAAGGAAGGCCAUUUGUGAACUGGAUGCUGGAGUGGCUAAAAAGCCAGAGUGUCAUUUGAGGAUACAAGUAGAAUAAUCACACUUUUUUGCAUCAAAAUCUUGAAAAUGUUAAGAGAACAAAGAAAGUAAAAGCAUAGCCAAUUCACAUGUACCCUUCCCUAGAAGCUUCUAGAAGAGAAAAAAAAAAUAGCUAGGUCUACAAGAGAGGUGUGAUGGACUGUCUUGAAGAUAAGAUAC